GAUGGAGGAGCCAAGACUCUGGAGGAAGACAUCGCUCCACCAACCAGGAUCCUCACCAGGAAUCUGGAGGACUGAUGGCGAAGCCGUACAUCUGGAAGGAAAAUCCUGAGGAUCACCAGCACUCUACCAUCAAGGAUUCCUCAUAAGUUUGCAUUAUCUGGACAUGGUGGACUAGACGCACCUGAGCUGAACCUCACCUGAUCCUGUUUGGUCGGGGGUAGACACACCUGAGCUA